rnacentral:sRNA from 1 species
CAUCUUCGAUCUGUUGCGGGCAAAUAAAGUGGAUAUGGCUGUCAAAUCCGCCUGCUGUCAGAAUACGCCCUUCACCGGCGAUUGCCUCGGUUCCCGGUCCGAUGAUGAUAUCGACGCCCGGUUGCGUAUCGGGGUUCCCCGCCUUGCCAAUCUUGUGGAUGCGCCCGUCUUUCAGCCCGACGUCUGCUUUGUAGAUGCCGGAAUGGUCCACGAUCAGCGCAUUGGUAAUGACAGUAUCAACUGCGCCUUGUGCACGCGUGGCUUGGGAUUGUCCCAUUCCGUCACG